GAUGAAGAACGUAGCGAAAUGCGAUAAGUAAUGUGAAUUGCAGAAUUCAGUGAAUCAUCGAAUCUUUGAACGCACAUUGCGCCCGCUAGUAUUCUGGCGGGCAUGCCUGUUCGAGCGUCAUUUCAACCCUCAAGCUCCGCUUGGCGUUGGGGAUCGGCGUGGCGGCCCUCCGCGGCCCGCUGCCGUCCCCUAAAUAUAGUGUGCGGUCCCGCCGUAGCCACCUCUGCGUAGUAGUUUUCUCCUCGCACCGGCAGCUUGGUGGCGACCCCGCCGUAAAACCCCCAACUUCUGAAAGGUUGACCUCGAAUCAGGUAGGAAUACCCGCUGAACUUAAGCAUAUCAAUAAGCGGAGGA
rnacentral:misc_RNA from 1 species